CCGUACGAUCACUGAAGUUAAGCACAGUCGAGCCUGGUCAGUAGCUAGAUAGGUGACCUCUUAGGAAUACCAGGUGCUGUAG